ensembl:lncRNA
AUGGACACAGAGGAUGGGGACAUGGGGCACAGGAGGGACACUCAGGGACAGGAGGGAAGAGAACAGGGACACGGAGCACAGGAGGGAUGUGGAAAGGAUGAGAGGGACACGGGACAGGAGGGACAUGGAAGGACAAGGAGAACAGGAGGGAUGGGAGGGGCACAGGACAAGGGACAAAGGGGACAGGAGGGACAUGGAGGGAUGGGAAGGACACGGAGGGACACAGAGCAAUGUGAGGGACAUGGAGUGACACAAAGGAUGGGGACAUGGAGGGACACGGGGCACAGGAGGGACAUGGAAGGACAAGGAGGACAGGAGGGACACGGAGGGACGUGGAGCACAGAAGGGACACAGGGGACACAAGGAAUGGGAGGGACAUGCAGGGAUUGGAGGAACAAGGGGACACAGAGGAUGGGGACAUGGAAGGACAAGAAGGACAGGAGGGACAUAGAGACAAGAGGGACAUGGAGGGAUGGGAGGGACAUGGAAGGACAGGAGGGACACAGGGGACAGGAGGGACACAGGGGACAGCUGGGGAGGGCCUGGCCAGCAGCCCUGGUGUCACCUGAGAUGCGGGAGCCCCCGAAGGGCUGCUGGGCCACCACGGCCCCCGUGGAUUUGUCGUUGAUGUAGAUGUUGCCGGCGGCGUGGCGCAGCACCCGCAGGGACUCCUCGAUGGCAGCCCUGGGCAGGGACAGGCACAGCCCUGAGCACCCCAAAAUGGGCACACAGGGGCUUGGGGCCCCCCCGAGGGGUUUGUUGUCCCCUCCUGAGGGUUUAAGGGCUCAGCUCCAGGCCUCGGGGGUUUCACACACACACAGCUCGUGCGUUUUGGCUGCUUUGGGGUUUCUUUUCAGCUUCUUUCUCUAUUUACGUGUCAUGGUUGUAAACCAAAGGUUGUUACCCCUCAUUCUCCAGGGAAACGUGGCUGCCCCAUCCCUGGCAGUGCCCCCUCCAGGCUGGAGGGGGUUUGGAGCACGCUGGGACAGGGGGAGGUGGCCCUGGAUCAGCCCUAAAGUCCCUCCAGCCCCAGCCAGCCCCAAAUUCUGUGACAAUUUUGGGUGAUUCUCUCUGAGGUUACACCACUCUUUGCCCUCCUCCUGCUGAGUGGGCUGUGGGAUCAACCCCCACGCGCUCCAAACAUUCCUUUGGGAUAAUUCUUCACUGAAAAAAGAGCUUUUUUGGGCUAAGAACCCCCCAAAAUUGAACUAAGCUAAACUUCCAAACCAUCCCUUCCCCUCCGUGCAGGAGGAGCAGCAAAAGCAGCACAGGCUGGGUGGGGGAAUGCUCUCCCCUGCUCUGGAGAGGAGGGAGAUCCUCCAGAGGGGAAAAGCACCCCCCAGCUGCUUUUUGGGGGAAUUUUCGGGAAUUUUGGGACUCACUUCUCCCGGGCGAAGAUCGCCCCCGUGAGGCCGUAGGGGGUGGUGGUGUCGAUGAGCUCCAGCACCUCGCGGUAGCGCUGCUCGGGGUACACGAACACGGCCAGGAUGGGCCCGAAGAUCUCCUGGGGCCCAGGAAAAACACCCGAGAGGCAGGUUCAGCCCAAAAAAAUGCACACCCCAUCAGGAUGGGCCCAAAAAAAUGCACACCCCAUCAGGA